AAUGAACGCUGGCGGCAUGCCUUACACAUGCAAGUCGAACGGCAGCAUGACCUAGCUUGCUAGGGUGAUGGCGAGUGGCGAACGGGUGAGUAAUGCAUCGGAACGUGCCUUUUAGUGGGGGAUAACGUAGCGAAAGGUACGCUACUACCGCAUAUUCUCUGAGGCGGAAAGGAGGGGACCUUCGGGCCUUGCGCUAGAAGAGCGGCCGAUGUCGUCAUCGCUAGUUGGGGGGGUAAAGUCUCACCAAGGCAACGAUCCGUAGCGGGUCUGAGAGGAUGGUGCGCCGCACUGGGACUGGGCCACGGCCCAGACUCCUGCGGGAGGCAGCAGUGGGGAAUUUUGGACAAUGGGCGCGAGCCUGAUCCAGCCAUGCCGCGUGAGUGACGAAGGCCUUCGGGUUGUAAAGCUCUUUCGGCUGGGAAGAAAUCGCACCCUCUAAUACAGGGUGUGGAUGACGGUACCAGCAUAAGAAGCACCGGCUAACUACGUG
rnacentral:rRNA from 1 species